UACUCAGAAAGGUGGUCAUCACA
rnacentral:miRNA from 12 species